rnacentral:rRNA from 1 species
UAUUUUCCUUGUGUGCCAGCAGCCGCGGUAAUACGUAGGGAGCAAGCGUUGUCCGGAUUUACUGGGUGUAAAGGGUGCGUAGGCGGCUUUGCAAGUCAGAUGUGAAAUCUAUGGGCUCAACCCAUAAACUGCAUUUGAAACUGUAGAGCUUGAGUGAAGUAGAGGCAGGCGGAAUUCCCCGUGUAGCGGUGAAAUGCGUAGAGAUGGGGAGGAACACCAGUGGCGAAGGCGGCCUGCUGGGCUUUAACUGACGCUGAGGCACGAAAGCGUGGGUAGCAAACAGG